GGAGGAGACUGCGGCGCGGCAGCGACUAGAGCGAGUCGGUUGUGGCAGAGGGGCUGCGGCCGCCGCAACUGCCACCGCCAACAGGAAGGCGGAGGACGCAGGAGCCAAGAGCAAGGGACGCCGCCACGGUCCUCUUCGCCUGUCCCGCCGCCCUCUUAGAGACACUCCUUGCCUACGGAUCAUCCUCUCCCAGCUUUUGCAAGCACCGGGCUGCUAGCCCGCUGAUAUUCCUUCUCUAUAGGCUCACUGCUGAGGCUACGGCGAGGUGUCCGAUUUGGGCACUUGAGGCCCGCAAUCCGGGACGGUGGGGAAUCUGCGCCUCCUGGCCGGGUAGUGUUGGAAGCAGGGCGAGGGGAAUGGGGAAAUGCUUCCUAUUUUACCGAACCGCAGAUCUCUUGCUCUAGCUUAGCCAGACUGAGCUGGGGAGGAAGGUUACUGCAGGCGUUCAGCCAGGGUGCCUUGAUUUCCAGCUUUGCUGUGUAGCUUUCGGGAAAAACGGGCGUGGGUGUACGGGGUGCGCUGAUUAGGAGAAAAAGGUCUCCGUGUUAUGCACUGAUUUUGUUAAUUUCCUUUCUCGGUCCACCUGGCAACUGUGCUCCUCCACGCAGGCAUGAAGACCCCGUUUGGAAAGGCAGCUGCAGGGCAGCGGUCUGGGACAGGCGCUGGCCACGGCAGCGUGUCUGUUACCAUGAUGAAGAGGAAGGCUGCACACAAGAAGCAUAGGAGCCGACCCACCUCCCAGCCUCGGAGGAACAUCGUGGGCUGUAGAAUUCAGCACGGAUGGAAAGAUGGAGAUGAACCUCUAACACAGUGGAAAGGAACCGUUCUGGAUCAGGUACCUGUAAAUCCCUCUCUGUAUCUUAUCAAAUAUGAUGGAUUUGACUGUGUUUAUGGAUUGGAACUUCACAGAGAUGAAAGAGUGUCAUCACUUGAAGUCCUUCCUAGUAGAGUUGCAUCAUCUAGAAUCAGUGAUACACACUUGGCAGAAAUAAUGGUUGGCAAAGCAGUGGAACAUAUUUUUGAGACAGAGGAAGGUUCCAAAAAUGAAUGGAGGGGGAUGGUCUUAGCUCAGGCACCUGUCAUGAACACAUGGUUUUACAUUACCUAUGAGAAAGAUCCUGUAUUAUAUAUGUACCAGCUCUUAGAUGAUUAUAAAGACGGUGACCUCCGCAUCCUUCAAGAUUCCAAUGAUUCUCCUCCCGCAGAGAGGGAGCCAGGAGAAGUCAUAGACAGCCUGGUAGGCAAACAGGUGGAGUAUGCCAAAGACGAUGGCUCCAAGAGAACUGGCAUGGUCAUUCAUCAGGUAGAAGCAAAACCCUCUGUGUACUUCAUCAAAUUUGAUGAUGAUUUCCAUAUCUAUGUCUACGAUUUGGUAAAAACGUCUUAGAGAUCAUCUUGAAAUUUGCCAAAUAUAUGAGACUCUAAAUCUGUAGACACAAAAAGUCUUGAUUGCUUUCCAGUUUGUAAGAACCAUCUUCUCCCUUUUUGCACGUUUUGCUUGGCAAAAAAUUGGAACUUCUGCCCUCUCAUAUGUUUUUGGAAGAAACCUUUUGCCCAUCUGUCCAAGCUUUUCACUGGUUCCUGUCCACAAUUUAACUGUUUAGUGAGAAGGGUGAAACCUGACAUCCAUUGGCUCAUACUUUUUUUUUUUUAUCUUGGGUGGUGUUAAUAGAUUAAAGGUAGCUGAACACCUCUCACCUCAUUCUUUUUGGCACUUGGACUCUACACUCAUUGAGGUGUGAAGCUUGCUGAGAUACCCCAUGUGACUGGCUGGCUCCUUUGAAUAAACCUGCCCGCCACCAAGAACCUAUACAUGACUUUCUUUUCAUUGUAUCAAAGUAAUGUGUCCACCGGUGUGAGCACCAGCAACUCACUUCUUCCUCAGACAUCUCUAAAGCUGGAAAGAUUUUGAGGGACAGUAUGGUUUCCUUCACCCCACCCCAAUGUUAUGAAUGAGACCAGGAGACCAACAGCAAACAUCUGGAAGGUUAAGAUGGUGGCAAACUGAUGAUGCUUCAUCUACUUUUACUCUCUCACUGAAUAAUCCAUGAUGGACUGGAGAAUCUCAAUGAUUGGUUCACCAUACUCUGGCAGAAAUUCCUACUGACUGCCAUAUAGGUAGGGCUUGACUAAGAAACUCUUGGUAACCAAUGCAGACUCAGACCUCUUGAAAAAAAAAACCAGCAGGGCCAAGCUGGAUAAAAGCCAAAAUUACUAUGUUUGCCAAAUUACACUGUCAGGUUUUGUAGAACAGCUAGGACUCUCAUAUACCUAAAGAUUGUGAAAAGAUGUAUAGAGAUUGCUGAGGUUGUAAAUAUAUGUUGUGUUUAAUCUAACACUGUAAUCUACAAUGGCCUUUCAAUGAAAGUUUAAGGAAUUUGGAAUCUGUUCUGCAGGCAGAAGGGAAAGUAUUGAUGAUUUUGAGCAGUGACAAUAGGAUCAGAUGCAUGCUUUAAAAGGUCUAGAAGUAUAAAGGGUAUAUGUAUAUUAGGGCUGGAGUGGCUGGAGGCUGGGAGACAAACUUAUUGCAAGACUCCACAUAAAAUCAUAUUUACCUCACUGAGUCCUGUCCUCAGGUAAAUACUGUUAAUUAAAAGGGUUUCACCAUUUAUAGAGCCUUCAGAUUAUUUAUCCUUAAUGUUAUUAUCCCCACAUGUGCUCAUGAACAAGCCUCUCAGAUCUUCUGCUCCCGUCUUGUGAUGGUAGCAUGUUCCUGCUUCUGGUGGUGCUAAACCCUGGGCAAUCAUCUGUCCUAGGAACAGCUGUUCUUCAUGGGUGACUGCUGUGAAACCAACAGCAUGGCCUCUUUUCUAUUUAAUCCUAAGAGUGGGCAUAAGGUAAGCAUUUGUAAGAUUUUACUGAAAGUAUUGGAGUAUAAGAAGGAAAAUGCUACACUGAAUAUAAUUAUAACUAUUCAGGCACAGACCAAUCCCAGAGUCUCUUACCAAGUUGACUCUCCUGUCUGUCUUCCUUUUCUGCCUUCACUUGGCUUCAGACAGCUCACCUUCCAAUCACUGGAAGUGUUUAGAGCAUCUCCACAUCUCUCCACAAGGUGGAGAUCAAGGCCAAAUUUUUCACCAGCCCCAGAUACUGGAAGGAGUAUUUUUUUCUUCAUUCAUAAUCAAUGUAAGGACUGCCUUCUAGGUCUUUAUUUCAUAUUCAUACAUUGAAUCUGACAGUGGCAACAUAUUACCUUUAGAGGAAAUUCUGUCUAUGCCUAAAGCAGUGUGGUCUAGCUUUAUGGUUUGAUUAAAGACAAUCACAAUAUCCAAUAUAUUUCCUAUAUCACAUGUAGGCCAUCAACAGUCGGAUCAAGGUUUGGCUAUGUCAAGUCCAACACAGCUCCUAGGCAUCAAAUGAUCACAAACUCUGGAGGUUCACUCUCACUCAUGGCACCUGUCUUAAACCGUUUUCUGUUGCUUAUAACAAAAUACCUGAAAAUUUAUUAAAAAAAUAAAGUUUAUUUCUUACAGUUCUGGAGGCUGGGAAGUUCAAGAUUGAGGGGCCACAUCUGGUGAGGGCCUUCUUGAUGGUAGAAACUCUCUGCAGUCCUGAAGUAGCACAAGGUAUCACAUGGCAAGGGGACUAAGUAUGCUAACAUGGUAGCUUAGGUCUCUUUUUCUCUUCUUAUAAAGCCACCAGUUCUAUUUCCAUGAUAAUCCAUCAGUGGAUUAAUCCAUUCACAAGGGCAGAACCCUCAUGUUCCAAUCACCUGUUAAAGGCCAUACCUCUGAAUACUGCCAUAUUGGAGAUAAAGUUUCAACAUAGGUUUUAGAGGGAAUAUUCAAACCAUAGCAUUUCCUUUCUGUGUAUUUGUGUGCACACAUGUACACGUUUGUAGAGACACAGAGAGAGAGGACUAGAGAGGCAGAGAACGCAUAUAUACACCUGUACAUUAAAUCCAUCUAUGUACACAUAUAUGAAGUUGUAAAAAUGGAACCAUAGUAUAUAUCCUCCCCUAUAAAUUUCUCCACUUAAUAGAACGUGAACAUGUUUGUAGGUUCUUUUAUACACAGUUACUUCUUUAUAUAGCAUUCCGUUGUGUGAAUAAAGCAUAAUUUAUUUAGCAAAUCCUUGUUCAUAUAUAUUGGAACAGUUUCCAAAAUUUGGUUAUUAUGAAUAAUGUCACCAAGAACAUUGUCAUACACAUAUAAUGUGUACUCAUACAUGAAUUUCAAUAGGGUGACCUGUUAAUUCAAAUAUUUAUUUAUUAUCUUUCCAGGUAAAAUAUUGGGUAGGUCCUUUGGAGUUCUAGACUAAGUUUGAGGUUACAGAAGAUAUGCUCAACAUCCUCCUUUGACCUGGUCCCAGUUUCACCAUAUUCAAUAGAUGCUUUAUAGUCUCUGGUAAGGAGGUGUACAAUUCUCUGAUUUUAUUACAGUUUUUAGGGAAUUUUAUUUUGUUCAUUUCAACAAGAAAAAUUACAUAAAUAGGUAACAGCUCCACUCAAAGCUGUGUUUUAAACGAACAAAAUAUUGGACUUUGUGAACAAAUGUGGUACUUUUUCUUUCUGUAAUUAUUGGCUAGCAAUCUUAUUUUACUAAAUCUAUACUGACAAAUUUAAUUUGGUCCAUUUAUUUGAGUUUAAAGAUUAUUUCAUACUCUCCCCAGUGAAACAGUCAUGGGCCAUUGCUAUCCUAGCAGCUUCCCUCAAGAACGAUGAGAUAGUCUUCUUUUCCCUCUAGAGCAUAAAUUUCAGUGGCAGGUAAAACUGUUUUAGCAUCAGUAUGCUCACGUCUUCCAUGAUACGUUUUUCUUCCCUACUAAAUUGAAAGUUUCUCUAAGUUACCAUAGCCACUCACAAGUUUUUCUCUACCUAACUGAAGUUGCCAUCUUCUGCUGAUCAUUAGGACAUUAACUUUUAGAAUCAUUUCUGUUUUAACCUCUUAUUUUGAAGGCAGCCUUUUAAUUUCCUCAGAGAAAUUGCAAUGGAACGAAAAUUUGUUCUCUUUUUACAUAUGUACACUUUUAUAAGAGAUGUAAUAUUUUUAGAUAAAAUGUUUAAUUAAUGCA